rnacentral:rRNA from 1 species
GACGAACGCUGGCGGCGUGCCUAAUACAUGCAAGUAGAACGCACAGUUUAUACCGUAGCUUGCUACACCAUAGACUGUGAGUUGCGAACGGGUGAGUAACGCGUAGGUAACCUGCCUGGUAGCGGGGGAUAACUAUUGGAAACGAUAGCUAAUACCGCAUAAUAUUAAUUAUUGCAUGAUAAUUAAUUGAAAGGUGCAAUUGCACCACUACCAGAUGGACCUGCGUUGUAUUAGCUAGUAGGUGAGGUAACGGCUCACCUAGGCGACGAUACAUAGCCGACCUGAGAGGGUGAUCGGCCACACUGGGACUGAGACACGGCCCAGACUCCUACGGGAGGCAGCAGUAGGGAAUCUUCGGCAAUGGACGAAAGUCUGACCGAGCAACGCCGCGUGAGUGAAGAAGGUUUUCGGAUCGUAAAGCUCUGUUGUAAGAGAAGAACGGGUGUGAUAGUGGAAAGUUCACACUGUGACGGUAUCUUACCAGAAAGGGACGGCUAACUACGUG